UUUCAACUUUUCCCAGAUGAAAUGCUACAAAAUAUUUAUGAAAAGACAUAAACUAUUACCAAGACUGGUUUCUGGUUUGAGAACUUUGGUUUGGUGUGAUAAUGCUUAAUUUUUUUCCAGAUUUGAAAGACAAACCGGGAGGUAUUAGUGGUCCGGGAAAGGUCGGAAUAUUCGAGAUGGGACGGCUGAUAGGACCAGAGGAAUGCCAUUUUUUUAUCUCCAAUAAUACGAGAAUCGUGUUAAAGUGUACGGGUUCGAGGAACAUCUCAACUAUACGAGACCAGAACUACCAGGAGCGGCCAAAAACUCAAAAUCAAAACUAACAUUCUCUCCACCGUUUCAAUGAACAAAACUGGAAAAAUCAAAUUUUUGAAAUCCUGACAUUGGCGUAUUUUUUAUUGUAUGACAAUAUGUCACUGGUAUGUAACAUCCGUCAGGGCUGUUGGACCAGCCUAUUAACACCCAGUAUGUAGUAUUUUCAGGCUGGACGAAGCUCUUUUACCACCCAUGA